rnacentral:ncRNA from 2 species
UAAAAAAUUAAAUAAGUUACUUAUAUAUUCUUUGAAUAAGGCAAAGAGUUUCUACAAGCGACCGGAAAUUGCUUACUAUAAGUGAGAGCAUAGAUAUC